UGGUUAUAUUGAAUCAUUAAAACUAUCAUUAUAUAGUAUUGUUGGCUUAUAAAUUAUUUUUAAAUUAACAUUUCACAAAUUCAUUGCAGUCUUGACUUCAGGUCUCAUCUAAAGAGGAAGCUUUAUAAUGCAUCUUUAAGUAGAGUUUCUGUCCAAAAGAUCUAAAUUGGAACUUUUCUCUUACAGAUUUUUUUAGGCU
rnacentral:lncRNA from 1 species